rnacentral:lncRNA from 1 species
UUGAGAUGAAAGGAAAUCUGCUCCAUUAAUUAAUCUGACCUAUUUCAGUAGAUGGAAGUUCAAGUUAGAAAUUAUGAUCAAAAAGGGAGGAAAAUCCUGUAGUUUGAAGAAAGAGCAUUUUAAAAAUACUGCAGACAGGCACUUGUAAUCUUUAAGCUAAUGUUAGCUUCAGGAUCGUCUUUGAAAAUUUGCAGGGGUUUUGGGGGUGGAAAGAUGCACAGGGUUUCCAGGUUCAAACUAAGAAGGCUUGAACUUUCUUCCCAAGAAGGAAGAUAGUGUGAAUGUAUCCUCCUGCGCUGUAAUCCUCCUGGGUAAGCGUGCUCUUUGUCACUUGGUGGAGCAGACUGUGUUACCAUGAUGUCUAAUCCUUAUCAACGUGAUCAUCGAGUGUUAACAGCUGAUGCAAUGACUAUGGAAACAGUGUCCCUAAAAGCUGUGAUUGACCCCUUUUCUGUCUUCCUCAUCCAGAGGCAGUCUUCCUGGCAGUGGUGAGCAACCUGCUGCUGUCCAAACUGAAAGCAGUGGUCUCCUGACUGGAGCAGAGCUGCUUUACUGCUGUUGGGCAGAAUGUUACACGUGGGGAAAAGAUGAGAGAGGAAGCUACACUCAGGAAUAAGCUCAGCUUAUAUGAAGGAGCCAAGGGCGAAUCACUUCUGGAGCAAAGGAUUGAAGGAUCAGAUCAUAAAUUCAGGCUGACUGAGUGUUUGCUGAAGUUCUUUACCAGAAGGUCUUAAUAUCCUUCCUGACAGACUGUGGUGGUUUCUGUACACGCUGUUCAUCACACUGCAGUUUGGGACCCAUAAAGCUGCUACCCAAAGCUCACUUGGAACUCUUGCAGAGUUGUUUUCAGCACAGCUGGACUGGAGGCACUGUUCAGAGGGGCUGAGCAGUGUUAGGUCCCUGUUUCAGUCCAUACUAUUCCCUACCUUUUGUUCGGGGGUUGUUACUGCUGACUGAUCUUGCAGGAUUGUGCAAAUAAAAGUGAAAAUAAAAUUGUUUGCA